UUCUAAUUAAAAAAAAAAAAAAAAAAAACCAGGAAAAAUCCUGAACAAAAUUCAUAAACUUCUAGACACAUUGAACAGUAAGAAUAUUAAUUAAAUGGAAAAGGAAAAGUUGUAAGAUAAAAAAAAAGCUAGGUAUCUUGCCACUGGUGAAUUCCCUUUCCCUCCUUGCCCUCUGCUCCCCACACACAAACACCCUUCUCACUGCUUUCCCCAGGAGGGAGUGGAUCUUGCAACACUUCCUUGUUGUGAUUCAUUCUAUGGGGUCUGAAAGCAGCAAGCAAUGGAAAAGACCUAUUUUAGGGCAUCUCAUCUGUCACCUGGAAACAAAGUUUUCUCCACAUAUAGGUAAGUAUUAUAAAAAUAUUUUUACUAAUGCUUCUUAGGAAUUCUGGU
rnacentral:lncRNA from 1 species